rnacentral:rRNA from 1 species
GGAAUCUUCCGCAAUGGACGAAAGUCUGACGGAGCAACGCCGCGUGAGUGAUGAAGGUUUUCGGAUCGUAAAGCUCUGUUGUUAGGGAAGAACAAGUGCGAGAGUAACUGCUCGCACCUUGACGGUACCUAACCAGAAAGCCACGGCUAACUACGUGCCAGCAGCCGCGGUAAUACGUAGGUGGCAAGCGUUGUCCGGAAUUAUUGGGCGUAAAGGGCUCGCAGGCGGUUUCUUAAGUCUGAUGUGAAAGCCCCCGGCUCAACCGGGGAGGGUCAUUGGAAACUGGGAAACUUGAGUGCAGAAGAGGAGAGUGGAAUUCCACGUGUAGCGGUGAAAUGCGUAGAGAUGUGGAGGAACACCAGUGGCGAAGGCGACUCUCUGGUCUGUAACUGACGCUGAGGAGCGAAAGCGUGGGGAGCGAACAGG